CCCAGCUAGGGAAGGGGAUAAGGCAUAUGUUAGCACUUUGCUAGAGGUCUAGGUCCUGGAGUAGACUCCAGAGUCACCCAUUCAGACGGGCUAAUGCCCUUUACUGACCCUAAACCUUGCCCCAAAGCCUUCCUUUUCAUACUGACCUGUCCCCAAAGGCUCCUCUUCAUGAGACAUGGAGAUUCGGAUUCCAAGCUGGAAGGAAGAAGACAUCUGGUUAGAGUCUCUCUCCAGUGGUCAGCCAAGCCCCAGGAGCCAAAAAAAAGAACUAAGUCUACGCCUGCCUCACCCUUUGCUCCUGUGCCUUCAUUUCCUUUUCCAACAUCUGUGACAUGUAGCUUACUGCCAAGAUCACGUGGUCCACGCCUGCCUGCCAGACGCAAUAAGCUGACCCAGGGCCUUACCGCGGCAAGCGCCUCCACUUGAUGCAGCAAGAUGGGCUUAUUGCAGAAGUCCACCAAUGGCUUCGGGAUGCUCAGCGUCAGCGGCCGCAACCGUGUCCCAUACCCACCCACCAAGAUCAGUGCCUUCAUUGCGCCUGCGGGUGAUAGGAGUGGGUCUCUGGCUCCAAAGUACCUACAGGCCGCCUAACCGGCUCCUGCCGCGCACUCCCGCCGCGCACUCCCGCCGCCGAGCCCUGCCCCGCGUCCUUCAGCAGCCAGACUGACCGACUCCAGCCUCACCUCGUCAGUCUGCUCUACCUUAAUGUAGAGUCGAGGAGCAGCCAGAACACGGAAGGAGGAACUGGUUGGAGACCAGCUGGCCCGGAGUUCCGGUCGGAGGCGGCGCAGCCAGUGACGUAACCGGGGAAGAGAGCCAAUGGGCUGCCGUCUACGUGGCAGGGCUGUCCGCAGACGACCGCCCGGCGCUACGCUGCGGCAGACGCACCCAAUUAGAUUCCCAAUGCGCUGGGCUGCCAUGGAGAACUCGCGGGUCAGAUGCCCAUUGGCGGAUCUAAAGGCGGAACUGGAGGAGUUAGCUUGGCUUCCUAUCGGAACCAGGUCCGCCACGAGGCAGCCGCCUUCCGCCCCGCCUUCUCCUCCCCUUUCCCCGCCCCCCCCCCCCGGCGCGCCGGACCCACCCCAAUGAGGCCGCCCCCCAGUGCUCGCCCAGACCCCCCCCACCUCCAGCACCACUCACCUUGUCCUCACUGCUUGCUCUAACCCCUAUUUCCAGCCGCUCCUGUGCUGCUGGCCCUUCAGCACCUGUCCGAACCCAGUUCAGUCCGGUCCCCCAGCUAUGACCCGGCACCUCCCCUCAAGUGAGAUGACCUGUGAGCGACUAGCUGGGUCGGCCCACCCCGAGGCUAUGAAGGUUUCGCGAAGACUUGGACAGAGUUUAGUUUCUAGAGGCUUUAUUUUGACAUAUACGACCUGACACAGGCGGGCGGGCGGGCGGGCAGCGCUGGGUGUACAGAAAGGGGCCGGCUCAGGCCAAGCACUCCUCUCCACCACACACAAGACCCAGGGAAACGCAAGCGCGCCUCAACACCAAUGGAGCCACGUGUGUAUCCUGGCGCAGGUCUUAGGGUAUGUAGGCAGGUGUGUAGCUUCCAGGAAAGAGGAGCAGAGAGCAGUUUCCACAACUCGAAGUCUUACAUUUCCUCUACAGAAGCAAAGGAACUUUCACCAGAUUCUCCUCUUUCCUCAUUAGAAUGCAGUUUGGUUUUUGUUUUUUAAAUGGGCACACACACACAACCAACUUACACAGCUGUAAAGUUCAAAGCAGUUUACAUCUUGGGAACGUGCACAUGGCCAGAUGUAAGCGAAUGAGCAGUGGAUACUGAACUAGCCAGGCCCCUGGCCUCUAGGAGAGAAUCCUCACGCCCACUGCACGGCCCAAAGCUGGGAAGAUGGGGUCCCAGGCUAGUUAGUGACUACGCUGGUCCCUUUCCUCUUUAAGCAGCACCCACCCCAUUUCACUCCCACCCAUCUCCCAGGGCUGGUGUGGGCUCAGCCAGGGAAACACUAUGGAGAGGGGUAACCUGAGCUCCCCAACCGAUGAUCCCGAGUUGCACUUUGGUCCCAAAUUGGGGCUGGGAAGACAGAGCCUGUCAGGGACAGGGCUCUAGCCUGGGACAGGCAGAGGAGCAAUGACAGAAAGUUAUCACACACUCACCAGCUAUCUAUAAGAUAGACGAGCUGGCCUCUAGAUAUCAAAAGUGCUGGGAAGUGGAGCCCUGCCCUUGAGAAGCAGCAAAUCCCAGCCUUUCCACGCUGUAAUGGCAGAACUCACAAUUAAGUGGGUUCAGCCUCCUUUGCUCCACGAGAAGCAGCAAGAUGGGGCAGUGCCUCCCAGAAUCUGGUAACUGGGGAACGACAGCACAUUCCUAGGAGGUCACCAUGGCCCCAAAGCCCUCUCUUAACCUCUAUACUGGCAGAAAAGAUGUGUCUACAAUAAUAAACACCUACUGCUCCCCCCCCCCCACGGCUGAGGCAA